rnacentral:rRNA from 1 species
GGUUAAGCGACUAAGCGUACACGGUGGAUGCCCUGGCAGUCAGAGGCGAUGAAGGACGUGCUAAUCUGCGAUAAGCGUCGGUAAGGUGAUAUGAACCGUUAUAACCGGCGAUUUCCGAAUGGGGAAACCCAGUGUGUUUCGACACACUAUCAUUAACUGAAUCCAUAGGUUAAUGAGGCGAACCGGGGGAACUGAAACAUCUAAGUACCCCGAGGAAAAGAAAUCAACCGAGAUUCCCCCAGUAGCGGCGNNNNNNNNNNNNNNNNNNNNNNNNNNNNNNNNNNNNNNNNNNNAGUGGAAGCGUCUGGAAAGGCGCGCGAUACAGGGUGACAGCCCCGUACACAAAAAUGCACAUAUUGUGAGCUCGAUGAGUAGGGCGGGACACGUGGUAUCCUGUCUGAAUAUGGGGGGACCAUCCUCCAAGGCUAAAUACUCCUGACUGACCGAUAGUGAACCAGUACCGUGAGGGAAAGGCGAAAAGAACCCCGGCGAGGGGAGUGAAAAAGAACCUGAAACCGUGUACGUACAAGCAGUGGGAGCACGCUUAGGCGUGUGACUGCGUACCUUUUGUAUAAUGGGUCAGCGACUUAUAUUCUGUAGCAAGGUUAACCGAAUAGGGGAGCCGAAGGGAAACCGAGUCUUAACUGGGCGUUAAGUUGCAGGGUAUAGACCCGAAACCCGGUGAUCUAGCCAUGGGCAGGUUGAAGGUUGGGUAACACUAACUGGAGGACCGAACCGACUAAUGUUGAAAAAUUAGCGGAUGACUUGUGGCUGGGGGUGAAAGGCCAAUCAAACCGGGAGAUAGCUGGUUCUCCCCGAAAGCUAUUUAGGUAGCGCCUCGUGAAUUCAUCUCCGGGGGUAGAGCACUGUUUCGGCAAGGGGGUCAUCCCGACUUACCAACCCGAUGCAAACUGCGAAUACCGGAGAAUGUUAUCACGGGAGACACACGGCGGGUGCUAACGUCCGUCGUGAAGAGGGAAACAACCCAGACCGCCAGCUAAGGUCCCAAAGUCAUGGUUAAGUGGGAAACGAUGUGGGAAGGCCCAGACAGCCAGGAUGUUGGCUUAGAAGCAGCCAUCAUUUAAAGAAAGCGUAAUAGCUCACUGGUCGAGUCGGCCUGCGCGGAAGAUGUAACGGGGCUAAACCAUGCACCGAAGCUGCGGCAGCGACACUAUGUGUUGUUGGGUAGGGGAGCGUUCUGUAAGCCUGUGAAGGUGUGCUGUGAGGCAUGCUGGAGGUAUCAGAAGUGCGAAUGCUGACAUAAGUAACGAUAAAGCGGGUGAAAAGCCCGCUCGCCGGAAGACCAAGGGUUCCUGUCCAACGUUAAUCGGGGCAGGGUGAGUCGACCCCUAAGGCGAGGCCGAAAGGCGUAGUCGAUGGGAAACAGGUUAAUAUUCCUGUACUUGGUGUUACUGCGAAGGGGGGACGGAGAAGGCUAUGUUGGCCGGGCGACGGUUGUCCCGGUUUAAGCGUGUAGGCUGGUUUUCCAGGCAAAUCCGGAAAAUCAAGGCUGAGGCGUGAUGACGAGGCACUACGGUGCUGAAGCAACAAAUGCCCUGCUUCCAGGAAAAGCCUCUAAGCAUCAGGUAACAUCAAAUCGUACCCCAAACCGACACAGGUGGUCAGGUAGAGAAUACCAAGGCGCUUGAGAGAACUCGGGUGAAGGAACUAGGCAAAAUGGUGCCGUAACUUCGGGAGAAGGCACGCUGAUAUGUAGGUGAAGUCCCUCGCGGAUGGAGCUGAAAUCAGUCGAAGAUACCAGCUGGCUGCAACUGUUUAUUAAAAACACAGCACUGUGCAAACACGAAAGUGGACGUAUACGGUGUGACGCCUGCCCGGUGCCGGAAGGUUAAUUGAUGGGGUUAGCGGUAACGCGAAGCUCUUGAUCGAAGCCCCGGUAAACGGCGGCCGUAACUAUAACGGUCCUAAGGUAGCGAAAUUCCUUGUCGGGUAAGUUCCGACCUGCACGAAUGGCGUAAUGAUGGCCAGGCUGUCUCCACCCGAGACUCAGUGAAAUUGAACUCGCUGUGAAGAUGCAGUGUACCCGCGGCAAGACGGAAAGACCCCGUGAACCUUUACUAUAGCUUGACACUGAACAUUGAGCCUUGAUGUGUAGGAUAGGUGGGAGGCUUUGAAGUGUGGACGCCAGUCUGCAUGGAGCCGACCUUGAAAUACCACCCUUUAAUGUUUGAUGUUCUAACGUUGACCCGUAAUCCGGGUUGCGGACAGUGUCUGGUGGGUAGUUUGACUGGGGCGGUCUCCUCCUAAAGAGUAACGGAGGAGCACGAAGGUUGGCUAAUCCUGGUCGGACAUCAGGAGGUUAGUGCAAUGGCAUAAGCCAGCUUGACUGCGAGCGUGACGGCGCGAGCAGGUGCGAAAGCAGGUCAUAGUGAUCCGGUGGUUCUGAAUGGAAGGGCCAUCGCUCAACGGAUAAAAGGUACUCCGGGGAUAACAGGCUGAUACCGCCCAAGAGUUCAUAUCGACGGCGGUGUUUGGCACCUCGAUGUCGGCUCAUCACAUCCUGGGGCUGAAGUAGGUCCCAAGGGUAUGGCUGUUCGCCAUUUAAAGUGGUACGCGAGCUGGGUUUAGAACGUCGUGAGACAGUUCGGUCCCUAUCUGCCGUGGGCGCUGGAGAACUGAGGGGGGCUGCUCCUAGUACGAGAGGACCGGAGUGGACGCAUCACUGGUGUUCGGGUUGUCAUGCCAAUGGCACUGCCCGGUAGCUAAAUGCGGAAGAGAUAAGUGCUGAAAGCAUCUAAGCACGAAACUUGCCCCGAGAUGAGUUCUCCCUGACUCCUUGAGAGUCCUGAAGGAACGUUGAAGACGACGACGUUGAUAGGCCGGGUGUGUAAGCGCAGCGAUGCGUUGAGCUAACCGGUACUAAUGAACCGUGAGGCUUAACCUU